GUCACUAAAAGGAACCAGCCCCAGCUACUUCACUGCAGGCUGGUGCCCUGGUGAAGGUGAAUCAGUCAGAGGAGUGCUGACUGCCCAUGGGGCUGCACCAUAUCAUGGUUCCCACUAGCAAUAUAUGAGAGUUCCAGUUGCUCCACAACCUCGCCAACAUAUGACAGGUGCUGCAAGAGGAUGGUUAUUUAACGCUGGCCCCCAAGGAGGAAGGCACAGACCUUCCUCCUCCUGGAACAUCCAAGGGCACUGGAUCCUCUGUGUCCCUCUGAGAUGGGGUGCCACUCCAGCAAGAGCACCACGGUGGCAGCUGAGUCCCAGAAGCUUGAAGAAGAGCGCGAGGGAAGAGAGCCAGGUCUGGAGACCGGCACCCAGGCAGCAGACUGCAAGGAUGCCCCGCUGAAGGAUGGAACCCCUGAGCCAAAGAGCUGAAAUGCCUCUCUCCAGAGUCGGACCCUCACCUCCUUCCUGGAACUGCCUUUGGCCCCAGAACCAUGAGACAAUCCCCACCCUGAGAAGCUCCGAUCACUGGGAGGAGAGAGAAAGCCUCCAGCUUUGGGAUUCAGGCUUCAGAAGUUUUUAGCAGCCUUUGCUCAUUGGAGAGGUGGGGAGGAUAAGUCUAUAAGGAAUCCUAUUUCCCCAGCUCUCCCACAGAGAGGACAAAAGAAGUCUUCACACGUUGUGGAACUUUCCUGCAACUUCUGGAUGCAGACAAGCCUCAGAGCAGACUGUUCUGGCUCCAGUGAAUAUCGGCUGCCAAGCUGUGAGCAUCCAGGGAUCCCCGUCUGCCUGGCUUUCCUGAAGUCAGAAGGCGCCUUGGUCAUACUGUGUGGGGUGUGUGGAUCUCAGUUUGCUCUCUUUCUUUCUCCUUUUUUCAACAGCUGGCGGAGUAGCCAACACCCCUGACAGCAAUGUGUUGCACUUGGCUCACUCCACACCCUAUGAAUAAUUUUAAUAUUUAACUUGAAAUGUUGUUAAGAAACUAUGGAAAAUAUCAGGAUCCCACUGGGAUCCCGUAAAUUGAAGGCAACAAGGUCUUGGUCCUCCAGUAAGGGGGGCAUGGAGCCCUGGUGGGAAGGAAAGAAGAGAAAUUUGUGUUCCUGAUUCCUUAAUCCCCAAGAAAGGUCCCUCUGCUAACAUUCACAUAUCUCUUCCUAGCCAAAGUCUGUCCAUUUCAACCCUCUAGCAUCUGAGCUAUCUGCAUCCAGCUUUCAAAAAUAUUUCGCUGUUUACUAACAUGUCUGUCAGCCUCUCUUUUCUCCCCCGCAUGUGUUUUGUUUUUAAAUCCACUCAAAAGCGUUUUCAUUUGAAAUCAAAUAGACAUGUUUGCAAAUAAAUGUUGACACAACACAUUUGAAAGACAGAAUUGGGGAUCUGAGAUUAAGAGUAUCAGCAGAGAAGAGUGGGUGUAAUUCUGUGGAACAGGAGUGAGAACAGAGGCGAGGGAGCCGUUGCUUUGUGCCAGGCGCCAUGCUGAGGACUUUCCAUAGACGGUUUAAUGCCACCCAACUACUCCCAUUUUAUAGAUGAGGAAAUGGAGGAAAUAAAGUCACUUGCCUGAGUUUGGGCAGCCAGGAAGGAGCAGAACCCACAGUUGAGCCCCAGCAGUUUGGCUUGGGAAACGCAUGUAGAGUGCUUCUUAAAGCAGAGAGCCUUUCUCAUGAUUAAACUGAAAUACUAGUCCCUUUAUAGCCUGUGCAUAGUGAGGACCAUUUUUCUUUAUUCACUGAGACCUACCUGCCUAUUGAGAAGUAUGUAACCGGUCAGCUUGGAGUUGCCCCACUGCAGGUUGGGUGAUGCAUUGAGGGACUUUUUAUUUUUACUCUGGUGGUGGGGGACGGGGAGGGAGGAAGAGACGGAGAGGGAAAAGAGGAGGGAGGAGAGAGGGCAAGAAGAAAAAGGAGGAGGGGAAACAGAGGAAGAGAGGGAGGAGGGAAAGAAGGAGAGGGAGAGAAAGGGAAGAGGUAGGGAGAUGAAAGAGCGGGGAGAGGCAGAAUGGGAGAGGGAGAGAAGGAGAGGGGAGACGGAGGGAGGAAGGGAGAGAAAGGAGAGGGGUGAGGGAAAAGGGGUAGGGAGGAGGGAGGAAGAGAAAAAUGGGGAGAGGGUGGGCGAGAAGGAAAGGAAGAAAUCGAGGAAGUUGGAGGAAUGAGGGAUGAGGCAGGGAGGGAGAAAGGGAGGGCGAAGCAGUAAGGUGCUGCAAAGGACCCUUCUUUUUGGCCAUAAAAACCUGAGAAACUGAUUGAGAUUCUUUUGAGCAAUAAGGCAACUGCGGUGAGGAAAAAAUAAGGAAGGAGGCACAAAAAGCAAAGCAGUUCAGCCUGAAAUUGACUACAGAGCUUCCCUUUGCUUCAGCAGAGCCUGGAGGAGCAGGAGGGAUGGGGGCCCUGUCAGCUGGCCCAAAGCCCUGCCCUGUCCCAGGGGUGCUAAGCUUGCUGCAGGCCAGGAAACAGGCCUGGGCUUGCAGCUGGGGAUCAGGAAGUUUGGGGCCUCUUUGCACAGCUUACUGGGGAUAGGCCAAGCUCUGGGAACUCCUUUCAAUUUUUUUUUUUUUUAAGACAACUCUGUUUUUCUCCCUCCUCCCUACUAGUGGAAAUUUACCUUGCAAAACAGGACUGUGCAUGGUGAGAGCUGCUUGCAAUGUCCACACUCAGGACUCUAUGGAAAGAGUUCGCAGCUGGUGGUGAGGCUUUGAGGUGGGGCUGCCCUUAUUUCACUAGCUCCUGAGGGGCAGAGCUCACUCAGCUUUUUACCAAAUCAAAGGAAGGAAGCUUUAGGUCCUUCGAAGUUCAGAACCAGGGUGGUUUGUUUUGCUUCCUUUUGGAAUGGAAUAAAAUGCUCAUUUAAUUAAAUUCAAGUUCUCUGAGGGCUUUUAAAAACAGAAUUCUUCAUCUACCUCCAGCUGUGGCAGGCAUGCUGCAAUUUACUAGGAAGUUAAUCUCUAACAGAAAAAAGUACUCAGUUUCCUUUUAAGGACAUUCCCGUUAUCCACUGGAGCCUAGCAUCACUCGUCUGUCUCCCUUUGAGGUUCGAGAAUUUCUAAAGUGCCUGGUAAAAGUGGUUAGGAUUAUGUCUACUGAAAUAUAACUUUAACCUCUGGAAAAACAGGCCUGCAAAGGCCAACUUCCCAAACUGCUGGAAGAGGAGAGGUUUAUUAGUUAACGUAUCUAUCCAUCCAUCAUCCAUCCAUGCCUCCUUCCUUCCUUUCAUCCAGCCAUCUAUCCAUCCAUCUUUCCAUCCAUUAUCCAUCAUCCAUGCAUCCAUCCACCCACCCAUCUGUUCUUCAGUCCUUCCAUCUUUCUUUCCAUCUGUCCAUCCAUCCUUUCAUCCAUUAUCCAUCCAUCCAUCCACCCAUCUGUUCAUCAGUCCUUCCAUCUUUCUUUCCAUCUGUCCAUCCAUCCUUUCAUCCAUUAUCCCUCCAUCCAUCCACCUAUCUGUUCAUCAGUUCUUCCAUCUUUCCAUCCAUCCAUUCAUCUUUCCAUCCAUUCAUCUAUCCAUUUAUUCAUACAUUCAGCUCUUACCCUGGAUUUUUUAGUUACAUGAGGCAAUACAUUUUUUGCUUUUAACCAAUUGAUUCAUUCAACAAAUAUUUGUUGAGUUUCUACUCUAUCACUCAUCAUUCAUUCAUUCCUGUAUUCAUUUAUUAAUUCAGUGUUUACUGGGCAACUACUCUAUGCCAAACUCCUUAGUGUUCAUAAAAUGUUCAUAAAGUGCCAUCUUUGUGGGAGUACCGCCUGGAACAGGGUGGUCCAGGGAGAUCUUUCCAGUCUCGAUGAGACCCAAGAGCUUUCAAGAGUAAGUUGGAAUUAGACAAAGAGGAUGGUUAUUUUGGAAGCGAAUGUAUGACCUGGAGUUGGAUACAAGAACUGCAUGGGGCACAAUGUACAGUGUAAUAGGAGCCUAAGGUGCCCACGGCACAGGGACAGGGAGGUAAACCUUGACAAGUAAAAAAUCAAAUCAGGGGCUGGGCACAGUGGCUUACACCUGUAAUCCCAGCACUUUGGGAGGCCACGGUGGGUGGAUCAUGAGGUCAGGAGAUCAAGACCAUCCUGGCCAACAUGGUGAAACCCCGUCUCUACUAAAAAUACAAAAAAAAAAAUUACCUGGGUGUGGUGGUGCGUGCCUGUAAUCCCAGCUACUUUGGAGGCUGACGCACGAGAAUCGCUUGAAUCUGGGAGGCGGAGGUUGCAGUGAGCCUAGAUUGCACCAUGACCAUGCACUCUAUCCUGGCGACAGAGUGAGACUCCGUACCAAAAAAAAAGGGAUCAAAUCAUGAAGUGCCUUGUAUUUUAUACUGAGAGCUUGAGAGUUUAUCUUGAUGGGCGCAGUGGGGUGUCUUUCGGCAGAAGAAUGAUGCUAGGACGUCAGUGGCUUUUGACUGGUUAGUAUCCUGUUUUUUUAGUAACAAAUCUUAUCUUUUUCCUCAUGGGGAACCCUUUCCUCACUCUCAGUUUACAUGAUUGGGUGGGGCUGAUCCCAUUCUUCAACGUCAGCCUGAGCACUGCAUAGCCCCUGUCAAAGUGAUAGGUUCAAGGGCGGGUGUAGAAACCCAAACUAGUCCACUGAGAGUCUUCUUUGAACUUUUUUUUUUUUUUGAGAUGGAAUCUCUGUCACCCAGGCUGGAGUGCAGUAGCACAAUCUUGGCUCACUGCAACCCCUGCCUCCCAGGUUCAAGCGAUUCUUCUGCCUCAGCCUCCCAAGUAGCUGGAAUUACAGGCACCCACCACCACGCCCAGCUAAUUUUUGUAUUUUUAGUAGAGACGGGGUUUUGCCUUGUUGCCCAGGCUGCUCUUGAAUCCCUGACUUCAGGUGAUCUGCCACCUCGGCCUUCCAAAGUGCUGGGAUUACAGGCGUGAGCCACUGCGCCCAGCCUUCUUUGAACUUUUAAUUGAAGCAAUUAGGAAAGGAAAGUUCACCUUCUUUUAGAAUUAAUAAAAUUGUAGGAUUUGGCCCUGGAAACUCUUAACCACUGAGAAGGGACUGCUUGAGAAUGAAGCCACAGAGCAGAGUGGAGCAGAGUGGAGAGAAGGAGAGACAUCGUCCUGAUCAACUUGUUUGGGCAACUGGAUCCAGCCAUGCCAGAAUAAUUCUUCCCCUAGAAGAUUCACAAGCCAAUAAACUCACUCUUUUUGUUUGUUUGUUUACAGUGGUUUGAAUUUGGUUUCUGUCAUUUUCAGAGAGAUCUGAGUAAAUCAGAUCCACUUAGAUUUGUAUAUUAGGUAGAGCACCCUGGUAACUGUUUAGAGGAUGGAGUUGGGAGGGAUAAAGCUAGAAGCAUGAAUACCAAUUAGAAGGCAACCUAGGAAAAAAAAAGCAUACAAGGAGGGGCAGGUUUAAAGGGAAGAUGAGGGGUUGAGUUUUAGGGGUGUUGAGUUUGAGGUGCCCAUAGGACAAAAUGUAAAUAAUGAUUGCAAACACUUAUAUCACUCUUACCAUGUCUGAGCAUUGUUCCAAAUGCAAUACAUAUAGAACUCAUUUAAUCCUCACCAUCACACUGUGCUCAUUUUAUAGAUUAAAACACAGGGAGUUUUAAUCCAUUCACUGAUCCCAACUUGCUCCUUGGCUGUAAAUUCCCACAUUUCCUUGUUGUAUUCUGAAUUAAGCCCAAUCUCUCUCCCCUACAAUAAAACCCCGUUGUUGUACAGGGGGUGCAGGGGGGGUGUGAUGGUUAAUUUUAUGUGUCAAGACUGGGCGCAGUGGCUCACACCUGUAAUCCCAGCACUUUGGGAGGCCGAGGUGGGCGGAUCACUUGAGGUCUGGAGUUCGAGACCAGCCUGGCCAACAUGGCAAAACCUCGUCUCUACUAAAAAUACAAAAAUUGUCCAGGUGUGGUGGCACGUGCCUGUAAUUCCAGCUACUACUCGGGAGGCUGAGGCAGGAGAAUUGCUUGAAACUGGGAGGCAGAGGUUGCAGUGAGCCUAGGUCACAUCACUGCAUUCCAGCCUAGGUGACAGAGUGAGGCUCUGUCUCAAAAAAAUAAAUAGAUAAAUAAAAUUAUGUGUCAGUUUAACUUGGCUAAGGGAUGCCCAGAUAGCUGGUAAAACAUUAUUUCUGGGUGUGCCUGGGAGCGUGUUUCUGGAAGAGAUUAGCGUUUUAAUCAGUAGACUGUGUCAAGAAGACCCACUGUCGUUAAUCUAAUCUGUUGAAGGUCUGAAUACAGCAACAAGGUAGAGAAUUCUCUCUCUUUUCUUGAGCUGGGACAUCCAUCUUCUCUUGUCCUCAGACGUUGGAGCUCCUGGUUCUGGGAUUUUCAGACUCCAGGACUUAGACCAGUGGCCUCUCUGGUUCUCAUGCCUUCCGCCUCAGACUGAAUUACACCACUGGCUUUCCUGGGUCUCCAGCAUACCAAUGGCAUAACAUGGGACUUCUUGGCCUCCAUAAUAAUGUGAACCAAUUCCCAUAAUAAAUCUCCCCUUAUAUAUCUCGAUAUAUUCUGUUGGUUCUGUUUCUCUGGAGGACCCUGACUAAUAUAGGGGGUUAACUAGUUCUUCCAGCUCUCAAGGACACAGCUGGGGCUUGCACUAGGCAGUUUGCCUUUAGAGGCUGAGACUUGAGGAAUUCAUUUGGGAAUUGUGGGAACCCUUUUGGACCUCCAGGGUUGCUGUAAAGUUUAUUUUAAGGUGAAAAUAUUUGACCUGCAAAAGGUGUAGAAAUAACUCUUAUCUGAACUUCCCUUAUCUGACAAAAGCAGAGCCUCCCAAAAUUACAGCUCCAUUAACCCCACUCUGGGGGAGUUUACUGCAGAUUUAGCUGCCAAGAAGGCAGAUUGCCCAUUUAUUAGCAACAAAAAGCCCACUAGGACCUUCCACACUCCCUCAUUGAAGCCCUAAAAACCUCUCUCUUUUGUUAAGUUGAUAAUACAAACUUUUCCUUUGGGCUAUCCCAUGAGUUUUCUAUUAUGGAAACUCCGAUAUGCAAGUAGGAAAAAAAAUCCUUGUUAACUGGUCCUUUCUCAGUUAAAUUUGUGGGCCUCAAACUGCUGAACCCAACAUGGAAGAGGAAGAAUUUUCCUCCCAACAGAGUCAUCAGAACACAGCGGCAGCUAAAGCCCUUGUUGUAAGGGAAGAAGCUGAGGCACAAAAUAUAAUUUUAAAGCAUUUGAGGCCAGGCGCAGUGGCUCACGCCUGUAAUCCCAGCACUUUGGGAGGCCGAGGUGGGUGGAUCAUGAGGUCAGGAGAUCAAGACCAUCCUGGCCAACAUGGUGAAACCCCAUCUCUAUUAAAAAUACAAAAAUUAUCUGGGUGUGGUGGCGUGUGCCUGUAAUCCCAGCUACUCAGGAGGCUGAGGCACAAGAAUCCCUUGAACACAGGAGGCAGAGGUUGCAGUGAGCUGAGAUCGUGCCACUGCAUUCCAGCCUGGUGACAGAGCAAGACUCCAUCUCAAAAAAAAAAAAUUUGAUGAAGCCAACGUGAGGACAGCUGCCCGGGAAACACUUUCAACUUGGCUUGGGCAGUGUUCCAUUCAGCCCAGGUUACAGUCAGGUUUCAAAAGGCAAAAGGGAACAAGGGGUGGGCGGAUACAAAGUUGUCUGACAGGAAUUCUCAUUGGCUUAGGAAAUAACAUUGAUUAGUGAUUAGCUUUAAAUGUUGAACUACAGGGUAUGAGUUUUGGUGUCUAGCCUACGGCACUGUGUGGUUAAUUUUAUGGCUGCUUGGCAUCAAUCUAGAGCCCACAUAGCAAGUGGUUCCAAGAGGUGGUUACUUGAUUCAAGGCAGGAGUGAGAGGUGACUGCCACCACACUUCAGUGCCCUCUGGGUCUGAUAAUUUGGAGGGGCUGGCAUUCCUCAGGUACAGUAGAUAAGGUGCCUGCAUUCUCUCCCCACACACAUAUACCCUGAGGGGAGGCACUGCUUGGAGCAGAAAAGCAUCUAUCAAGGACAAAACUCUGGAAAAACCAACAUGUAAAGGGCAGGUGGAGUAGAUAAGCUGCAAAGGAGCCAGCGAUGGACUGGGGCUUGGAUUGAUGGGAGACGGUGACCAAUGGCUUCUGCUCACGGAACAUUCACCAAGUGCCAGGCAUUGAGCUCAAAGAUGCUUUAUAAAUGCUAUCUAAUUUGCUCCUCACAAAAGGUCUACCAGGAAGGUAAAAUUCAUACCUUACGGGUGAGACAGCACAUUUAUGAAGGUUGCAUGAAUUGCCCAAGUUAACAUAGCUAGUUAGUGGCAGAAUAGGAAUUUGAGCUCUAAAGACCAGGGUUUUAACCACAGCAGCGCAUUGAAUAGUCUCCUCCCAAACUUCGUGUCCACCUGGGACCUUUGAAUGUGACCUAAUUUGGAAAUAGGGUUUGAAGAUGUAGCCAAGUUAAUAUGUGGUCAUGCUGGAUUAGAGUGAGCCCUAAAUCCAAUGACUGGUGUCUUUUUUUUUUUUUUUUAGAAAGGGUCUCACUCUGUCACACAGGCUGGAGUGCAGUGGUGUGAUCACAGCUCACUGCAGCUCCAAACUCCUAGGCACAAGUCAUCCUCCCACCUCAGCCUUCCAAGUGGCUAAAACUACAGGCAUGUGCCACCAUGCCUGGCUAAUUUUUAAUUAUUUUUUUGGGAGGUGGGGUCUCACUAUGUUGCCCAGGCUGGUCUCAAAUUCCUGGGGUCAAGUGAUCCUCCUGCCUCAGCCUCCUAAAAUGCUGAUAUUAUGGGUGUGAGCCACCACACCUGGCUGACUGGUGUCUUCAUGAGAGAAAUGGGAGGAUUUGGACACAGAGACAUAGAGGAAGAAGACCAUGAGAAGAUGGAGGCAGAGAUGGGAGUUAUGCUGCUACAAGCCAAAGAACAGCUAUAACAAAGACUCCUUUGACCUAAUUCUGGUCGCACUCCUCUAAGCCCUCAAGGCCCUGACCUUUGGUCUCCGCAUCUGGCAUGUGUAGUCUAGUUCAGCUGGAUCAGUUUAGUGAAAAUCCCCCAUUCUUGAUAUCUCUCUCAAUAUCUUACCCUGGCCUGCCUUCAUCAAGAAUCUGCUGAGUCAGUCUAGCAAGAAUACCCCUUUAUCUCUGAUGUUUCCUCUCAGUGAUUUUUCCAUUCACCAAUCCCCAACUUGCUCCUUGGCUGUAAAUUCCCACAUUUCCUUGUUGUAUUCUGAGUUGAGUCCAAUCUUUCUCCCCUACAGCCAAAUCCCAUUGUAGUAGUCCCCCCGAAUAAAGUCUGCCUUACCAUCUUUAACAAGUGUCAUGAAAAUUCUUUCUUUAACACACAG
rnacentral:lncRNA from 1 species